rnacentral:rRNA from 1 species
GACGAACGCUGGCGGCGUGCUUAACACAUGCAAGUCGAACGGUAAGGCCCUUCGGGGUACACGAGUGGCGAACGGGUGAGUAACACGUGGGUGAUCUGCCCUGCACUUCGGGAUAAGCCUGGGAAACUGGGUCUAAUACCGGAUAGGACCAUUGCCUGCAUGGGUGGUGGUGGAAAGCUUUUGCGGUGUGGGAUGGGCCCGCGGCCUAUCAGCUUGUUGGUGGGGUGAUGGCCUACCAAGGCGACGACGGGUAGCCGGCCUGAGAGGGUGACCGGCCACACUGGGACUGAGAUACGGCCCAGACUCCUACGGGAGGCAGCAGUGGGGAAUAUUGCACAAUGGGCGCAAGCCUGAUGCAGCGACGCCGCGUGAGGGAUGACGGCCUUCGGGUUGUAAACCUCUUUCAGCACUGACGAAGCGCAAGUGACGGUAGGUGCAGAAGAAGGACCGGCCAACUACGUGCCAGCCGCGGCAGUAA